rnacentral:rRNA from 1 species
UAGCCUUGACAUUGAUAGAAUACACCAGAGAUGGAGUAGUGCCUUUCGGGGAACUUGAAAACAGGUGCUGCACGGCUGUCGUCAGCUCGUGUCGUGAGAUGUUGGGUUAAGUCCCGCAACGAGCGCAACCCUCGUCCUUAGUUGCCAGCAGGUUAAGCUGGGCACUCUAAGGAGACUGCCUUCGUAAGGAGGAGGAAGGUGAGGACGACGUCAAGUCAUCAUGGCCCUUAUGGCUAGGGCUACACACGUGCUACAAUGGGGCGUACAGAGUGUUGCGAUACCGCGAGGUGGAGCUAAUCACUUAAAGCGUCUCUCAGUUCGGAUAGCAGUCUGCAACUCGACUGCUUGAAGCUGGAAUCACUAGUAAUCGUAGAUCAGCAAUGCUACGGUGAAUACGUUCCCGGGUCU